GGACACAGCCAAACCACAUGGUUUUAGAACAUUGACGAAGAGAGAAGACAACCCACUUUGCCAUAUAUGCCCAUGAAGAUCUGGCAAGAGUUAGCAUGCAGGUCUACAUUGUGACAAUCCAUGAGAGCUAAGGACUGGCUGUCUCUUGGGACAAAUAGGCUUUCUUGAGUCUGGAUGUCCGCUCUGCUUGUCUUACCGCAUGAGAGAGUGCAGAUGUUCCUGAAAGCAUCUUUGCGUGGAUUUGCUUGAAGCGAGAUGUGAGAGAAGGGGCAAAGCUCGAAGGGAGCUGCUAGAGAGAGAGGAAAGCAGCUGGACAGGGCUUUCCUGAUGACUGAAAUCUUAUUGUGGAUAAUGGAGAUCAGGUCCUGUGGUGGUGGAUCUAAUGGAAGGAUCCUAGGUCUCUGAAUCACAACGUGGAAGAAAAUCAGUCACCACCCCUAGCUGGAACACCAACAUUUCAAAUAAGUGAAAAAUAAACUCUUAUUAUGUCAAGCCACUGCAAUUUUGGGGUUUGUCUUAGUGUUAGUGUCACCUACAUUUAUGCAAUAGCUGAGUAACAUUUUAGAAGAAGAGGAUGUUUGUAGCCAUUUUGGACUACAAGAAAUGUCAAAGAUACUUUUUAUUUUCCUAAUUUUUAAUUUCUAGGUUUAUUCUUAAAAGAGUAAGAUCUUUUUUUGAAAAAUCAGUACUAUUAUUUUGACUUUUGGAUAUACAAACAGGUCUCUCCUUAACCACUCAAAAGAGCCAAGUGAGAGGAAUUUGUGGAUAAAGACAUUUAAAGGUAGUAUGAAAUCUUUAAUCACGCCAAAUCAACACUCAUCACCACGACAUUCUGUCAGUGCCUCCAGGGAUUAAGGACAUAUGAAUGUCUUUCCCUGAAAUGUGAUUGUGACAUUGGACUUAGCUAUUUGGGUUUUCAUGAAACCCAUUGUCAGGUUAAAUAAUGAUAGAGUAGUAGAUGUUCUGCACAAUUGCUUUUGUUAUAAAACUUGAAAAAAAGUAUAUUAAUUUUUUAUGCCUUGCCUUUCAGUGCAUUAUUACUUAUCUUUGUGCAGAGUAGAUUAAGUAGGUCCAUUGAAUAAGAAAGCAUUAAUUUGGUAGAUUCUCUGUGUUAAGAUGCUCAGUAUUUUUUAUGGAAUAAAGGUGUGGAAGGUUUCUACUCCUGGUCAAGGAGUAGAAACAGGUAGAAAAUAUUUAUAUUUCAGCCCUGCUUCUCCUUUGUCAUAUCCUUCACCACAAGGAUCUACUUUCACUUCUGCCUUGGUUUUAAACAGCAGCCAGUAUAUGAAGGUCUAGCUAACUACACUAUCUCCCUAGGAGAGUUGGUACAAUGUUGUUUCCAAAAAUUAGACAAAGCAUGUUUAAUGGCUCCCUUUCACUAAGUAAAUAAAUAAAAGCAAGAAAGGGAGGAAGCAAGCUGGCUAAAGAAGAAAUGAACUAGACAUCUGUAUGUUUCAUUUUGUUAGUGAUCAAGCUCGUCUUUCAUGAUUAUUACUUUGAUACAUACAAGAUAUAUCACAACUAUUUUCCUAAGCAAUAUGAAGAUACAAAGUUAUUAUAAAAACUAAUGGAUCUAAAAAUACAUAUUGAAAGGUAUAUUUAUCUUUUGCACACCUCGAUGAAUUUUUCACAAACUGAACAGAUCUCUGAAACUGACAACCAUAUAAAACAAACAGACAAAACAAACAAGCAAACAAACAUAACCAACACCCUAGAAACCCUCCUAGGCUCCUUUCUAGUCAAAGGAUUAGUCAUUAUUUUGAUUUCUAACAGUAUAGCUCAAUUUUAUAAAUUAAUUAAGCAAAUUACUCUUUGUGUAAUUUACAUGAAUACAUUAGGUAUUCUUUUGUGCCUGACAUUUUUUGUUGAAUAUUUUGUUUGCAAGAUUUAUCCUAUUGUUGCAUAUGCUUGUAGACUGUUCAUUCUCACAGAUGUAUUAUAAAAUCUAUUGAGCAAAUAUGGCACAGUUUAUUUAUACACUCUACUGUUGGUAGACAUCUUGAUAGUUUCCAGUUUUGUUUGGAGCUAUUACAAAAGUGCUGCUAUAAACAUUCCAGUUAAGUCUUUUGGUAAACUCAAAUAUGUAUUUUUGUUGAAUAUAUAUGUAUAUAUACCUAAAGAAAGAUUCGUUGAUACUGCCAGUUUUCCAACAUGGUUGUAUCAAUCCACAUCACUACCAGUUGUGCAUAAAGAUUUGAGUUGCCUUGUAUCUUUGCCAACACUUGAAAUUUUUUGUCUUUAUUGUUUUAGCCAGACUAGAGGUUGUUUAGUGGUAUUUCACUGUGGUUUAAUUUGCAUUUCCUUGAUGGCUAAUGAACUUGAGAAUAUGGAAAUAUGUUUAUUGGCCAUUUGAAUGUCUUUCUUUAUGAAGUACCUGUUCAAGUAUUUUACCUAUUCCUCUAUUGAGUUGCCUGCAUUUUUCCUAUUGAUUUGCAGGAGUUCUUUAUA
rnacentral:lncRNA from 1 species